AUUGAACGCUGGCGGCAGGCUUAACACAUGCAAGUCGAGCGGGGGAAGGUAGCUUGCUACCGGACCUAGCGGCGGACGGGUGAGUAAUGCUUAGGAAUCUGCCUAUUAGUGGGGGACAACAUCUCGAAAGGGAUGCUAAUACCGCAUACGUCCUACGGGAGAAAGCAGGGGAUCUUCGGACCUUGCGCUAAUAGAUGAGCCUAAGUCGGAUUAGCUAGUUGGUGGGGUAAAGGCCUACCAAGGCGACGAUCUGUAGCGGGUCUGAGAGGAUGGUCCGACACACUGGGACUGAGACACGGCCCAGACUCCUACGGGAGGCAGCAGUGGGGAAUAUUGGACAAUGGGGGGAACCCUGAUCCAGCCAUGCCGCGUGUGUGAAGAAGGCCUUAUGGUUGUAAAGCACUUUAAGCGAGGAGGAGGCUACUUUAGUUAAUACCUAGAGAUAGUGGACGUUACUCGCAGAAUAAGCACCGGCUAACUCUGUGCCAGCAGCCGCGGUAAUAC
rnacentral:rRNA from 1 species